GGCCUAACACAUGCAAGUCGAGGGGUAUUAGUUUUCGGACUAAGAGACCGGCGCACGGGUGCGUAACGCGUAUGCAAUCUACCUUUUACAGAGGGAUAGCCCAGAGAAAUUUGGAUUAAUACCUCAUAGUAUAGCAGUUUCGCAUGAAACCACUAUUAAAGUCACAACGGUAAAAGAUGAGCAUGCGUCCCAUUAGCUAGUUGGUAAGGUAACGGCUUACCAAGGCUACGAUGGGUAGGGGUCCUGAGAGGGAGAUCCCCCACACUGGUACUGAGACACGGACCAGACUCCUACGGGAGGCAGCAGUGAGGAAUAUUGGACAAUGGGCGCAAGCCUGAUCCAGCCAUGCCGCGUGCAGGAUGACGGUCCUAUGGAUUGUAAACUGCUUUUAUACGAGAAGAAACACUCCUUCGUGAAGGAGCUUGACGGUAUCGUAAGAAUAAGGAUCGG
rnacentral:rRNA from 1 species